CGGGAUGGACGUACCUCUGGUGUACCAGUUGUUCUGCCAAGGGCAUGGCUGGGUAGCUAUGUACGGAAUGGAUAAGCGCUGAAAGCAUCUAAGCGCGAAGCCAACUUCAAGAUAAGAUUUCCCACCGCAAGGGUAAGACCCCAGAAAGACUAUCUGGUUGAUAGGUCGAAGGUGUAAGUGCAGCAAUGUAUUUAGCUUAUCGAUACUAAUAGGUCGAGGACUUGACCAA
rnacentral:rRNA from 1 species